rnacentral:tRNA from 1 species
GGUAAAAUGGCUGAGAUUAGGCAAUAGAUUGUAAAUUUAUUUACGAAUUAGAAUUCUUUUAUCA